UCCCGGCUAGCUCAGUCGGUAGAGCGUCAGACUCUUAAUUACAAGGGUUUCCGAGUACUUUCUCGGAGUUCAUCUGAAUGUCGUGGGUUCGAGCCCCACGUUGGGAG
rfam:Tstilago hordei, Th4857-4, WGS project CAGI01000000 data, contig: THOR_scaffold_5.00062